rnacentral:rRNA from 1 species
GAUGAACGCUGGCGGCGUGCCUAAUACAUGCAAGCCGAGCGAACGGACGAGAAGCUUGCUUCUCUGAUGUUAGCGGCGGACGGGUGAGUAACACGUGGAUAACCUACCUAUAAGACUGGGAUAACUUCGGGAAACCGGAGCUAAUACCGGAUAAUAUUUUGAACCGCAUGGUUCAAAAGUGAAAGACGGUCUUGCUGUCACUUAUAGAUGGAUCCGCGCUGCAUUAGCUAGUUGGUAAGGUAACGGCUUACCAAGGCAACGAUGCAUAGCCGACCGGAGAGGGUGAUCGGCCACACUAGAACUGAGACACGGUCCAGACUCCUACGGGAGGCAGCAGUAGGGAAUCUUCCGCAAUGGGCGAAAGCCUGACGGAGCAACGCCGCGUGAGUGAUGAAGGUCUUCGGAUCGUAAAACUCUGUUAUUAUGGAAGAACAUAUGUGUAAGUAACUGUGCACAUCUUGACGGUACCUAAUCAGAAAGCCACGGCUAACUACGUG